AUUGAACGCUGGCGGCAGGCCUAACACAUGCAAGUCGAGCGGAAACGAGUUAUCUGAACUUUCGGGGAACGAUAACGGCGUCGAGCGGCGGACGGGUGAGUAAUGCCUAGGAAAUUGCCCUGAUGUGGGGGAUAACUAUUGGAAACGAUGGCUAAUACCGCAUAACGCCUACGGGCCAAAGAGGGGGACCUUCGGGCCUCUCGAAUCAGGAUAUGCCUAGGUGGGAUUAGCUAGUUGGUGAGGUAAGGGCUCACCAAGGCGACGAUCCCUAGCUGGUCUGAGAGGAUGAUCAGCCACACUGGAACUGAGACACGGUCCAGACUCCUACGGGAGGCAGCAGUGGGGAAUAUUGCACAAUGGGCGCAAGCCUGAUGCAGCCAUGCCGCGUGUGUGAAGAAGGCCUUCGGGUUGUAAAGCACUUUCAGUCGUGAGGAAGGUAGCGCAGUUAAUAGCUGCAUUAUUUGACGUUAGCGACAGAAGAAGCACCGGCUAACUCCGUGCCAUAAGG
rnacentral:rRNA from 1 species